rnacentral:rRNA from 1 species
UACGUAGGCAGCGAGCGUUGUUCGGAAUUACUGGGCGUAAAGAGUGUGUAGGCGGUGCUCUAAGUUCGGUGUGAAAUCUCCUGGCUUAACUGGGAGGGUGCAGCGGAAACUAGAAUGCUAGAGGGUGGGAGAGGUAAGCGGAAUUCCUGGUGUAGCGGUGAAAUGCGUAGAUAUCAGGAGGAACACCUGUGGUGUAGACAGCUUACUGGACCACUUCUGACGCUGAGACACGAAAGCGUGGGUAGCAAACAGG